rnacentral:rRNA from 1 species
AGAGUUUGAUCCUGGCUCAGGAUGAACGUUGGCGGCGUGCCUAAUACAUGCAAGUCGAACGAGAAGCUUUGACCUCGGUUGAAGCGGAGAGUGGCGCACGGGUGAGUAACACAUGGCUGACCUGCCCUUCAGAGGGGGACAACCACUAGAAAUGGUGGCUAAUACCCCAUAUGCUCACGGAGUUUAGAAAUUUGUGAGGAAAAGCUGAGGCGCUGAAGGAGGGGGCUGUGGUCCAUCAGCUAGUUGGUGUGGUAAAGGCGCACCAAGGCGAAGACGGAUAGGGGGCCUGAGAGGGUGACCCCCCACAUGGGCACUGAGACACGGGCCCAACUCCUACGGGAGGCAGCAGUAAGGGAUAUUGCGACAAUGGACGAAAGUCUGACGCAGCAACGCCGCGUGUGGGAUGAAGGCCUUCGGGUUGUAAACCACUUUUCUGUGGGAAGAGGAAGGACCGUACCACAGGAAUAAGUCUCGCUAACUACGUGCCAGCAGCCGCGGUAAAACGUAGGAGGCGAACGUUAUCCGGAUUUACUGGGUGUAAAGCGCGUGCAGGCGGAUGCGUAAGUCGUGCGUGAAAGCGCCCAGGCUCAACCGGGCGAGGACGUGCGAAACUGCGUGACUAGAGGUAGGUAGAGGCGUGUGGAAUUCCGGGUGUAGUGGUGAAAUGCGUAGAUAUCCGGAGGAACACCAGUGGCGAAGGCGACGCGCUGGACCUAACCUGACGCUAAGACGCGAAAGCAUGGGUAGCGAACGGGAUUAGAAACCCCGGUAGUCCAUGCCGUAAACGAUGCAUACUAGAUGUUGCGGUGAUGAGCUGCAGUGUCGAAGCAAACGUGAUAAGUAUGCCACCUGGGGACUACGGCCGCAAGGUUAAAACUCAAAGGAAUUGACGGGGGCCCGCACAAGCAGCGGAGCGUGUGGUUUGAUUCGAGGCUACACGAAGAACCUUACCUGGGCUUGACAUAUAAGUGGUAGGGAAGCGAAAGCGGACCGACCUUCGGGAGCUUAUACAGGUGCUGCAUGGCUGUCGUCAGCUCGUGUCGUGAGAUGUCCGGUUAAGUCCGGUAACGAGCGCAACCCUCGCCGUUAGUUACAAGUGUCUAACGGGACUGCCCGUUGAACGCGGGAGGAAGGUGGGGAUGACGUCAAGUCAGCAUGGCCUUUAUGUCCAGGGCUACACACACGCUACAAUGACCGGUACAAUGGGUCGCCAACCCGCGAGGGGGAGCAAAUCCAACAAAGCCGGUCUCAGUUCAGAUUGCAGGCUGAAACUCGCCUGCAUGAAGUCGGAGUUGCUAGUAACCGCAGGUCAGCUAUACUGCGGUGAAUACGUUCCCGGGCCUUGUACACACCGCCCGUCACGUCAUGGAAGCUGGUCAUGCCUGAAGUCGGUGGGUUAACCGUAAGGAGACAACCGCCUAAGGCAGGGCUGGUGACUGGGACGAAGUCGUAACAAGGUA